rnacentral:rRNA from 1 species
GCUGGCGGCAGGCCUAAUACAUGCAAGUCGAGCGCGCCCUUCGGGGUGAGCGGCGGACGGGUGAGUAACGCGUGGGAAUAUGCCCUUCUCUAAGGAAUAGCCUCUGGAAACGGAGAGUAAUACCUUAUACGCCCUUUGGGGGAAAGAUUUAUCGGAGAAGGAUUAGCCCGCGUUAGAUUAGGUAGUUGGUGGGGUAAUGGCCUACCAAGCCUACGAUCUAUAGCUGGUUUGAGAGGAUGAUCAGCCACACUGGGACUGAGACACGGCCCAGACUCCUACGGGAGGCAGCAGUAGGGAAUCUUAGACAAUGGGGGCAACCCUGAUCUAGCCAUGCCGCGUGUGUGAUGAAGGCCCUAGGGUCGUAAAGCACUUUCGCCAGAGAUGAUAAUGACAGUAUCUGGUAAAGAAACCCCGGCUAACUCCGUGCCAGCAGCCGCGGUAAUACGGAGGGGGUUAGCGUUGUUCGGAAUUACUGGGCGUAAAGCGCACGUAGGCGGAUUAGUAAGUUAGAGGUGAAAUCCCAGGGCUCAACCCUGGAACUGCCUUUAAUACUGCUAGUCUUGAGUUCGAGAGAGGUAAGUGGAAUUCCGAGUGUAGAGGUGAAAUUCGUAGAUAUUCGGAGGAACACCAGUGGCGAAGGCGGCUUACUGGCUCGAUACUGACGCUGAGGUGCGAAAGUGUGGGGAGCAAACAGGAUUAGAUACCCUGGUAGUCCACACCGUAAACGAUGAAUGCCAGACGUCAGCAAGUAUACUUGUUGGUGUCACACCUAACGGAUUAAGC